GCGCCGCUAGCUCAAUUGGCAGAGCAGGACACUCUUAAUGUCAAGGUUAUAGGUUCGAUUCCUAUGCGGCGCA
rnacentral:tRNA from 4 species